CACAUUUUCCAUAACAAUACUCUGAUAAAAGUUUAUUUUCUUCCCUUUUAUAUCUUUCCACUUAAAUAUGUUGAGCCCUUCUGCAGAUCAGGAGCUCGAGGAGUUAAGUAUCUUCUUACUCCUCCCUACUCAUCUUGUGCUUCAUCCUUGUGUAAGGGAAUUAAUUCACUGUGGACUUUACUAUUUACUGAUCUGUACAUUUAGACACAAACAACAGCUUGCUGUCUAUCUUACUUCCCAGGUUUUUGUAAAAGUUUUUGUUUUCUUGUUCCUUCUAAUCUUUUAAGACAUCUCUCAGGACAUGUCUUGUACAACUGAUCUGGGUAGCAGGUUCUCUCUUUUUCUGGGAUAGGGGAAAAACACCAUCAAACAGCACAUUCUCAAGAAUUAUGGAUGUCUUUAUAUACCUUUAUAUUACUAAGGCACAAAAGACACCCAGAGAAGAUGGAGAAGAUGAUCACUGUGUGCCUUGCUGUGGAAAAGUACAGGAGCUGACAGGCACUGAUGUCACUCACUGCCAGACAGGAGUAAUCCAGGGAUCACACAUGAAGUUCUCAGUACACGACCAUUUGGGGACAGGAGCAUCUGUCAGUGAUUUCUGGUGUCAGGAAAAAAUGGGACCAAGCCCCUUUGCUGCAAAAUUCCCCAGUGACGUGGAUCACCCUUCAGUCUGCUCCUGUUUGUCGGCUUUAUCGUGGCAGGACGGUAUGUUGUUUAAAGCAGAUUUAGAAACCAUUUCUGUGAAUGAGGUUAAAGGAAAACAGAUCUUGAUAAAGAUGAAAGGAAAUGGCUUUUACUGAGAAUCUCAGAGGGGUUUUUGGCCAAGAUAAGCGGUGCAUGGCUUGACUAAGAGAAUUGCUGCUGAAUAUUUCAUGAAGGAUAUUCCCUUUAUUUGGAUUAGUUCAACAGACAUGUUGGUUUUAAUUCUGUUAAAUGUUUUGAUUCUAAUCUGGUGUAAUCCAUUGAAUUCAAAGGACAAUUUGAGUCUAAUGAGCAUUUGUCCUGUAUUUUUACUAGGCAUUAAAACCAAAUUCACAGAACAAUUCAACAACUACAGCUAAGACUGAAAAAGGAAGAAAAGCUUGUCCUGAUGCCUGAAAAAUGCUGCAAAAUGGGCAUUUAAUGUGAAAAUGCUCAUGAGAAAUAGCUAUCCUCAGGCAUGUGAUCCAGCAAAGAAACCCAGAGAACUUUGCUUGGAAGCUUUAAAGGAUAUUCAGGAGUGAAAAGCACAGGUUGUGGAUGUUGAUACAAGCACAGCACCCAGCUCUUGUACAUGACAACAGUCAUAUAAAAAAGCAGAGACCGCCUGCAUAAAGGAUUAGAAUGUCUUUGAAAAUACCUUCCCCCCCCAAAAAAAAAACCAUCUAAAUUUCCAACUAAAUUUUUCCUGCAGUAUUAAUUCCUUUCACAAACCUGAACCUGCCCAGGGAAUGGCCACAUCCCUGCCAGCAGCCAGCCCCACACGGCACAGCUGCUUAGGAUGGAUAAUUCCUGCCUUUCCAUGGGCAUCAGCAAGGAAAACAUAAAAUAUAGCAAGCCUGCUGGUAUGGGUUUGACAAGGCUGCCCUCUGCUGAGAACAGCCCUGAGAGGAACAGGCAAAAAAAUGACAAACCAGAGAAGCAAGAGCAGCAAAACACCCGGGGAUCCAGGUGUUUUACCUGGACAUUGCAUCCAGGCACCUCAGAUAUUCCCACUGCAGCCUCCCGGGGCUGGGUGGGGUGUUUUGUUUUGUUAUGGUUUCAGCGGGCCGGCAGCAUCCCAGCAAAGUGAAGACAAAACUUCAGCAGAGUUCUAGAGCCAAUAACGGAAUGCCAAGUGUGAUUCCCUGCAUUUUGCAAUGUUUAAUGUUUAUUUCUAAUGAUUACAGUAACAGAAGAGAAAGCCCAGCCACUCUACUGGAGUCAGCAUUAAAAUAUUUCACAAGACAUGAGCACUGCUCUGCUAAACAAAAGGGGUCCAAACCUGUGUUGAAUUAUGUUCAAAC